AAAGGAAUUGACGGGGAGCACCACAACGGUGGAGCUUGCGGUUUAAUUGGAUUCAACGCCGGAAAUCUUACCGGGACCGACAGCAAUAUGAAGGCCAGGCUGAAGACUUUGCCGGAUUAGCUGAGAGGUGGUGCAUGGCCGUCGUCAGUUCGUACUGUGAAGCAUCCUGUUAAGUCAGGCAACGAGCGAGACCCACGCCCACAGUUGCCAGCGUACUCUCUGGAGUGACGGGUACACUGUGGGACCGCCGCUGCUAAAGCGGAGGAAGGAAUGGGCAACGGUAGGUCAGUAUGCCCCGAAUAUCCCGGGCUACACGCGAGCUACAAUGGUUGGUACAAUGGGUAUCUACCCCGAAAGGGGACGGGAAUCUCCUAAAACCAAUCUUAGUUCGGAUUGAGGGCUGCAACUCGCCCUCAUGAAGCUGGAAUCCGUAGUAAUCGCGUUUCAACAGAACGCGGUGAAUACGUCCCUGCUCCUU
rnacentral:rRNA from 1 species